UCUAAGGAUGAGUGAAAGUAAAAUUUCACUCUAAAUAAUAUACAUCGGUAAUGUUGACCGUCCUCAUUUCUCUUCUUAAAGUAAUGUUUCCUUCUUGUAGGGCCGGUAGCUCAGUUGGUUAGAGCACACCCUUGAUAAGGGUGGGGUCGAAAGUUCGAGUCUUUCUCGGCCCACCAAAAACCUAAAUGGGGGAUUAGCUCAUCUGGGAGAGCGCCUGAUUUGCAUUCAGGAGGUAGCAGGUUCGAUCCCUGUAUCCUCCACCAGGACACAUUUAGUUAUUAAAACUGUAAAUAAGAAUCAUUUAUAUCAAUAUCUAUAUCCGAACAUUAAAAGUUAUUAUUUAAUGUUCAAAAUAAAAAUUUGAUCACAACAUAGAUAAAUUUUCUGUUAAAGGAAUUUUUUUCUGUGCAUAAAU
rnacentral:tRNA from 1 species